rnacentral:rRNA from 1 species
AUACGUAGGGGGCGAGCGUUGUCCGGAAUGAUUGGGCGUAAAGGGCGCGUAGGCGGCCUGUUAAGUCUGGAGUGAAAGUCCUGUUUUCAAGAUGGGAAUUGCUUUGGAUACUGUCGGGCUUGAGUGCAGGAGAGGUAAGUGGAAUUCCCAGUGUAGCGGUGAAAUGCGUAGAGAUUGGGAGGAACACCAGUGGCGAAGGCGACUUACUGGACUGUAACUGACGCUGAGGCGCGAAAGUGUGGGGAGCAAACAGGAUUAGAUACCCAGGUAGUCCACACUGUAAACGAUGAAUGCUAGGUGUAGGGGGUAUCGACCCCUUCUGUGCCGCAGUCAACACAAUAAGCAUUCCGCCUGGGGAGUACGGCCGCAAGGUUGAAACUCAAAUGAAUUGACGGGG